GGCGGCGCGGCGGGAAACGCGCCCUGGGCCGGGGCCUUCCCCGACGCGCACAGCUCUGUAGCAAAUCGCAAGUGCGGCGGCCUCCCGGUCGUGACCAUCGCAGGCACAGCCGGCUCGACUCCGGUCCUCGCGGCCGGCCGGCGUAAGUUCCCGCGAGGGACCGCCUACCCACUCUCCCCGCCCCGGGAAGAACUGCGCCGCGCCCGGGAUUUUUCGGACUCGCCCAGCAGCUUGCGAGCGGGCGGGCAGCCGCCGGGGCAGAGCGCAGGCGGAAAACGAAAGCGCAGCACGAGUCGCGGCCGCUUUGUCUCGGGCGCCGCGGGCCUGACAGGGGCGAGUGAGAACCCGCUGGCCCAGAGGCGACCCAGAUCGCACAGGCCCGGGAACAAGCGGCGUGCUCAGUCACUCACCCGUGCGCGCACACCCUCGCGCUCUUGUCCACACAUUAGCACACACAUACAUGUCUUGAUGCACAUGCAAACCCGGUAAAUUACGCAAACAGACGUGUAAACACACCCAUGCGUGUGUGCACACUCAUGUGCAGAGGGCGCUCAGGCAUGUGCGCACCCACUAAUGCACUCGCUGACACGGAAGCUUAAGGCCCACAGGAGCUUAAGUGCGCACUCACUCCCACUCACGCGUACACACGCCACGCUCGGAUCUGAACUCACACGUAGUUCAGUUGCCCUCCCCCACCCCCAACACACACUGAAAACCCGCCUAUUUGGCCCCGCGGCCCCAUUUUCAAAGCGCAGGUUCCGAUUUCCCGAGAGAUGGCAAAGGCCCUGGCAGGAAGUUUACAGGGUUUAACGUAAACAAGUUCUGGGGGAUUCUUUAAUAAUAAUAAUAGAGAAUUCCGCGUGCGCAGGGCGGGAGGGGGGAGUUGGCCUAAUGCCCCUGUGGGCUCGGCCUGCCGCCGCCGCGGGGGCCUCUGACACUGCGCGCCAGGCCAGGUUCCUGAGAGCAGACAGCGCGGGCUGGGAGCGCCGGCAAGGGCGGCCCUCGCGCGCCUGGCUGCCAGCCCGCGGGGGGCUCGCACGCAGACCUGCCCUUGCCACCUCAGCGCUCGGGUGCGGGCUGGGGGCGGUGGAGCCAGGAAAGGUGGUGCCGAGAGCGGAGCGCAGGACAGCGCAGGAGCCCUGGCGCAACGCGGCGCGCACAGACCCAGAUCGCCUCCACCCUGCUUCCCUUGUCCCCACACCACACUCCAGCCCAGGAACCAGCCAAGUAAAGGGAGUACCCUUUCUCUUUUAGAAGGUGGGGCAAGAGGAUGGUGGUGAACAGUCCUCACUUGACAUUUUCCUUCUUUCACACACACAUGCCUUGGCAUUGCGUUUGCCUGCAUGCAGCUAUGGCCUGCAGCCACUGAAGAAUGCUCGCAUAAGGAGCUCUUCUCUGCACAUACCCCGACACAGUGAUGGUAUCUUGCAGCUGCUGCUUCUGUCCAAGGCACUGCAGCCUACUCGUCAAAAGCCCGAAGCCCAGCUCUGCCAGCAGUGCACUGUGUGCUCUUAGGUAAUCGCCUGGCUUCAGGACAAUGGGACAGUAACAGCUAACACUGGGAGGGAGGUGCUUAUCAUGUACCCAGAACUACUCUUAAGAGCGUUGCAUAUUUAGCCUUAUUUGCUUAAAACAACAUUUUGAGGUCAGUCACAUACUUUCUCCACUGUGUCUUUCUGAGUCACAGAGAGGUUAAGUAACUUGUGCAAGGUCACACUGCUCAGCAGAACUAAGACUCAAUCUUAGCAAUCCAGAUCUAGGUUAUUAUGAGGGUUAAAGGUAUCAGUGAGCAGAAAGCACUUGGACCCAGUACACAGCAGGUGCUCAUUAAAGCUUAGCUCUUGUCAUCAUGACUUGCCUAAGGAAUUGGGAUAUGGCUGGUCUUGCCUAGGUGGGGAGGAAGGAGAACUGAAAAAUACAACCCACACUUAGAAAAGUCUAAGAUUCCAAAUUACUCUGCCAAAUUUUUGAAAGCUCUGGAUUCAUGGAAGAGGGGGAGGGAGAGCAGCUAAGAGCAGCUCCUGCUGGGAUCAGGUGGGAAGUGCUGGGUGGGGUGAGUGAGCCCGGGUCACCCUGUUAUUACAAGCCCCGCCCGAGAAGCCUGGCUUCCCGUCUGACCUCCGAUCGUGCUAGCACAGGGCUCCGUCAACGUGAAAUGUGCAAAUGAUUUGGCGUCCCCCCUCCCUUGCUUUUCUUUGCAGGAAACAGAGAAGCAAAGAAGUUAGCAAGCUUGUUUUGGCAGAAGAAAAAACACAAAAUGCCCAACCACAGAUCCUCAAAAAUAUUGCUAAGCACUAAUUUUGCUAACAUGUUAGACAGCCUUCGGAUCUAGGCAAUCUUGUUCCUCAGCUGGAAAGAGUUCCUGCCAGCCAUGUGAUUCCAAAUCCACCCUGGACAUAUGGGGAUAAUGAGAAAAUCAGCUCCGGCCUUCCCUGGCCUUCCAGCCAAGUGAAUGGGGGCAUCCCCUGGUGCUUCAGCCCGGGGCCCACCCAGAGGAUGCUAGCUGGCCUGCAGAGGCCUCAACCGUGCCCUCCUGGACUCAGGUAAGACUGAGGUUUCCAUGCCCUCAAAACAAGUGUUCAGACAAAAACUCACUGCCCAGGUCAAAGUCACAGCACCAGAAAGCCAACCUGAGGAUGAAGACAAAGCUCCUUGUUGGCACAGUCCCCUGAUCAUUCGAGGUCAGCAUCUCCAUCAAAAUGGACCCAAUGCUGAGGCAAGAAGGAGAACAUCACUGUUAAGAAGGUAAUGAGUCACAAAUGCUAUUUUGAUGGUUUUCUUUGAAAGAAAUACACAUAACCAAACCAAUUUUAAUUAAAGAUCUUGUCUUUGUAAUCAGGCAGCCACAAAUGAAGGCAAAACUGCUUUCAUGUGGCAUAAUAUACACAGAGCUGAACUAGUUUUCCCAUAAAAGGGCAGGUUCUUUUCUUCAAAUAAGAAAAGAGUUUGUUCAUAACAAUAUGGGGGAUGCAACAGAAAGCUGUCUUUUGCAAAGUAUAAAAUUGCAGAUCCUCCCGUGGAAGCCAUUUCUUGAUGCUAAACCAAUGCGAACGUUUGCCAAACGCACAUGCGAGCCGGGAUUAUCCUACCCUUUGAGAUUAGACAUGUGAUCCUGAUUUUUAAGUGAAAAACGCAGCCAGAGGCCAAAUAAACAUACCUACAAGUACAUCGAAAGCUCAAAUGGUUGAGAAAUGAUUGUAACACACCCUGGUGUGUAUUUCUGAGGAAGAAUCAACAUGCACAUGGAAAUUGAUGUUUUGAUUUUUAAUUUUAAAACGACGACAGAACUGAAAUACCUCCCCUAAUUAGGUCCACUGAAACCAGUGAGGAGAUAAUCAUUUUCAGUUAAAUAUGCAUGUAAUUUAAUAAUCCACAGAUGGAAAAUGCAUUUGAGGUGGACUGAACACAGCCAGGAGUUUUUGCUUAUCGACAGCACUGAAUCCUGCCUUGACUAGAGAGACUCGUCAUGUGAUCAACUGUGGCCAGAGGGCAUCCUGCAGACAGCUCCUGUCACACCACACUGACCAGACUCCUAUGAGUAUUUAAGCAUCUUCAGGCAAGCGAUUGACUGUCUUAUAAUGGUCUUACAAGUACGGAACUUUAUUACCUGCUAAUAAUCAGAGCACAUGAUGGGACAAUAGAAUAUACGAGUGAAGUUCUAAAUGCAAGGUUGUUCUUAUUCUGUGAGUGGCAAAACUCAUGCAGUGAGCAGAUAAAGCUGGCAGGAGGCAUUGGCGCCCUAAUGCUGGGCACUAACCACCUGCCCGGACUGCGAAUAUCUGUUGGGUCCUUUCUAUAUCUGGUCUAUUCUCGUGUUUGAUUAUAUCCUGGUGGCAAGAAUAGCAAAAUCCACUCUCCUUCCUAUCCCAUGUGGAGAGGCAUGAUUUGAGUCAGAGAGCAUUAUCCUCUCUGCAUUAUCCAACCCCAUGUCCCAUGAUGCACUUUGUAGACAAGCAAGUGUCCCUGGUGGAGAAUCCACAGCCACACAUCCUCAUUGGUUGCAAGGAUCAGUGUCCAAUAUCUACUGCCAUGAUCAUUCUCAGUUUUACAUCCACAGAGCUUCAUAGAAUUCUAACACCACAGGUCCAAGUAGAGGUUUUGGCCUCAGAGUGGGCUAGAUUCCACCUCUGAAAGCAGCUGUGGGACUGUUUUUCCAUCUGUAAAAUGGAGACAAGAGUAUCACCUACCUCAUGGUGUUGGUGGGAUCGUUAAACAGAAUUCUGAUCAUGAAACCCUUAGCCUGCUCCCUGCAUAGGCUGCACGCGCUCAGUGACCUAUGGCUCUGUUUCAUGCUGACUUUACCAUCAUGUAAGCAGUUUUAAAAAUGCUAGAAGCUUUAGUCAUAGAAUUACCAUAUGAUACAGCCUACUGCAGAGUCCAGAGGCUGAGGCAGGAGAGUUACUUCAACCUGGGAGGCGGAGGUUGCAGUGAGCCAAGAUCGCGCCACUGCACUCCAGCCUGGGCAACAGAGUGAGAUUCUGUCUCAACAAAAAAAAAGAAGACAUGUGUCCCCAUCACAGUAUCAUACAGAGUGCUUCCACUGCCCUAAAAUACCCUGUGCUCUUCCUAUUCAUCCCUCUCUUCAACCCCAGCAACCACUGAUCUUUUUACCAUCUCCAUGGUUUUGCCUUUCCCAGAAUGUCAUAUUGUUGGAAUCAUACGCUAUGUAGCCUUUGCAGAUGGGCUUCUUUCACUGAGCAAUGUGCAUUGAAGGUGCCUCUAUGUCUUUUCAAGGGUUGAUAGCUCAUUCCUUUUUAUUGCUAAAUAAUAUUCCAUUGUCUGAAAGUACUACAUUUUGUUUAUCCAUUCACCUACUAAAGGACAUCUUGGUUGCUUCCAAGUUUGGGCAAUUAUAAAUAAAACUGCUAUAAACAUUGUGUGCAGGUUUUUUUUUCUAGAUGUCAGUUUUUAACUCAUUUGGACUAUAGAGCACUAUUGCUGGAUCAUAUGAUAUGUGUGUGUUUAGUUUUAUGAGAAACUGCCAAACUGUCUUCCAAAGUGGCUGCACCAUUUUGCAUUCCCACCGUCAAUGAAUGAGAGUUCCGGUUGCUCCACAUCCUCACCAGCAUUUGGUGUUGUCAUUGUUUUGGAUUUUAGCCAUUUCAUAGGUGUGUAGAGGUAGCUCAUUGUUUUAAUCUAAUAAACAUCUUAUGGAAGAAUAACACACAAGCAGAAAAUUUCACAGAUACAAAUGAACAGCUUUUUCAACAAUCACCCACUGGAUACAUUUCUGUAUCCAGCACCCAGGCCAAGAAACUGACACUAACAGUGCCCUGUGCCCCUCUCGGGACCUAGAUCCACUUCCAAUAAUUUAGGCUUCUCUUAGGGAAUUUGCCUCAGAAAAAUAGAGAGAGAGAGAAAUCAAAAGGCAGACAAUCUCACAGAACAAACGAAUGAAGAAAUGAAUGAAGAAUGACAAUGUAGAAAUUUAAGCUCUUUAUGUGUGCACUUAUUACUACAAAUUCUAGUAAUUCUGGAAGCAGAUGUUAUUUACACAGAAAUAAAUACAGAGGCAUGUUGAUUCCGU
rnacentral:lncRNA from 1 species